rnacentral:lncRNA from 1 species
AUUGAUAGUAUUUUUGUGACACAAAUUGAAAAUAAUGAAACAUAAUAGAUUCAGUCGAGAGGACAAAUUAAAAGAGAACGCCAUUUUUUCCAUGAGAAUAAGAGUUCACUUCUUCAAAACUCGAAUAAUAUCUCCACUAUUAUAGUGACAAUCAAUCAGACACAAUAGAUCCACUCGAGAAGACAAAUCAAUAGAAAAUGCCAUUUGCAGAUUUGCUCCACGAGAAUAAGAAUUCACUUCAAUGAAACAACAAAAGAGUUUCACGAGAAUUGUCUCGAUAUAGAACUAACCAGACAAGAUAAUAAUUUCCCUUGUAGGAACAUGGAAGUAGUCUACAUGGUCAUGGUGUAUACAACUUUGAAAGACAUUGCAACAUUUUAAUUUGCAACCUUAAAAACAAGAUAUAAUCUGCUGUCUUGAGUAAAAGGUUGUCUGGUUUCAAGCCUUGUCCUCCAGGAACAAUUUUCUGCAAUUUCUUCACCUUCUUAUGAACCAACCCACCUCCCAUUUCCCCUUUUCCUCUUCUCAACUUCGUAUUUCCAUGCACAAUUUUGCUUCUUCUGCAAACCAUUUUAAUCCUCUGAAAACUGCAAGUCGACUUGACUACGACAAGAGUCACGAAUAUAAAUAGACUGUGCACAGAAGAAAAGCUGAAUCUUCUG